UACGUAGGGUGCAAGCGUUUGUCCGGAAUUAUUGGGCGUAAAGAGCUCGUAGGCGGUCUGUCGCGUCUGCUGUGAAAAUCCAGGGCUCAACCCUGGACCUGCAGUGGGUACGGGCAGACUAGAGUGCGGUAGGGGAGAUCGGAAUUCCUGGUGUAGCGGUGAAAUGCGCAGAUAUCAGGAGGAACACCGGUGGCGAAGGCGGAUCUCUGGGCCGUAACUGACGCUGGAGGAGCGAAGGCAUGGGGAGCGAACAGG
rnacentral:rRNA from 1 species